AUUGAACGCUGGCGGCAGGCUUAACACAUGCAAGUCGAGCGGAGAUGAGGUGCUUGCACCUUAUCUUAGCGGCGGACGGGUGAGUAAUGCUUAGGAAUCUGCCUAUUAGUGGGGGACAACAUUCCGAAAGAAAUGCUAAUACCGCAUACGUCCUACGGGAGAAAGCAGGGGAUCUUCGGACCUUGCGCUAACAGAUGAGCCUAAGUCGGAUUAGCUAGUUGGUGGGGUAAAGGCCUACCAAGGCGACGAUCUGUAGCGGGUCUGAGAGGAUGAUCCGCCACACUGGGACUGAGACACGGCCCAGACUCCUACGGGAGGCAGCAGUGGGGAAUAUUGGACAAUGGGGGGAACCCUGAUCCAGCCAUGCCGCGUGUGUGAAGAAGGCCUUAUGGUUGUAAAGCACUUUAAGCGAGGAGGAGGCUACUGAGACUAAUACUCUUGGAUAGUGGACGUUACUCGCAGAAUAAGCACCGGCUAACUCUGUGCCAGCCGCCGCGGUAACAC
rnacentral:rRNA from 1 species